AAAUGUUCAUAAGAAAGAAGUGAAAUGCUAAUAGAAAUGUUUCACAUUGAUGUCAUUAGGCAGAGCAGGCAACAGAUGGCACACAGACAGCAGAGUUGGGGACAGAUAUGCAGGGACAGACUGGCAGAGACAGGGAGUCUCAGGGAAAGUGCAAUAUGCUGUAUACUCAAUGAACCAACAGACUAUCUAUUAUACAUCUGCUCCUGGGAAGGACUUGCUGGACCCCUCCACACUCCCAGGAAAACCAGGAAUCCAGUCAACGGUCAGAGAGAGAAGAUCCAUCUGCCUUCAAUUGAGAACAGUCAGAAGUGUCCAUCAUGUGCCAGAGCAACAGCAGAGCAUCGUAAAAUCAUCCCUAAAUCUGCCCCCUCCCUCCAGUCUAAGAUGACGUCCUUCUCAUGUUGCCU
rnacentral:lncRNA from 1 species